rnacentral:rRNA from 1 species
CUCCGUAGGGUGAACCUGCGGAGGGAUCAUUACACAACAAAAUAUGAAGGCCUGGCUUCGCGGCCGGCUGAAAUAUUUUUUUCACCCAUGUCUUUUGCGCACUUGUUGUUUCCUGGGCGGGUUCGCCCGCCACCAGGACCAAACCAUAAACCUUUUUUUUAUGCAGUUGCAAUCAGCGUCAGUAAAAACAAUGUAAUUAUUACAACUUUCAACAACGGAUCUCUUGGUUCUGGCAUCGAUGAAGAACGCAGCGAAAUGCGAUACGUAGUGUGAAUUGCAGAAUUCAGUGAAUCAUCGAAUCUUUGAACGCACAUUGCGCCCUUUGGUAUUCCAAAGGGCAUGCCUGUUCGAGCGUCAUUUGUACCUUCAAGCUUUGCUUGGUGUUGGGCGUUUUUUGUCUCCCUCUUUCUGGGAGACUCGCCUUAAAACGAUUGGCAGCCGGCCUACUGGUUUCGGAGCGCAGCACAUAUUUUGCGCUUUGUAUCAGGAGAAAAGGACGGUAAUCCAUCAAGACUCUACAUUUUUAACUUUUGACCUCGGAUCAGGUAGGGAUACCCGCUGAACUUAAGCAUAUCAAUAAGCGGAGG